UACUUUAUAAUCAUUAUUGAUAACAGCCAAUGUCAUAGGAGUACAAGAUUAAGCUCAACACAUUAUUUUAUUUCACUUGCUCGAUCUGUAACAGGGGCAACAGAUGGAGGUCGAACACAUGCAGAAAACAACAGCGAACACAUGCAAGGAGCAGCAACAGUAGACACCGAGUCGGCUAGCUAGCCUGGUGUGAUGAUGAUGCUGGCAGAUAACUUAGUGAAGGCUGGAAACGCACAGACACAAAAGCUCAACGAUUAAUCUUACUGUUUAUACUUACGAAUUAAGGUUUAAUAGCCAAUGAGUACUUAGAAUUAUAUAAUAUAAUCUUUCAAGUUAGGGGUGGAGGAUGUACGUGUUGCAGUCGACUUUGGUGUUGAUGGGGAAAGAGACGGAGACACCGCACUUGCCGGGGAUGUUGGCGGCGUUACCCAUGCUGAUGCCCGACCCGGCCAGCUUCUUGAGGCAGCGGCACGCCGCCUGCCGGUCGGCCGAGGUGGACGCCUUGGCGUUCAGGGUCCUCACCCCGCUGCAGCACCCCGCCGAGGGCGCCGACGCUUGCCCCGUCGCGUAGGACAUGCACGGCGCGACGGCGGACGUCACGUCGCCGCAGGUCACCGCCCCGGACGCCAUCUCCGCCACCGCCAGUGCGGCGAGCACGGCGAACACGGCGAGCAGUGCCACGCGAGCCAUCGAUCGAGGAUCUAGUGCUUCGGCUUGCUUGCUGGAAACCGUGGAGCUGGGAUGGAGUUGAGAGCUUGAUUAGCUUGUGUGGUGGUGGUGGUGGAGAUGGAAUAGAACUCCGUGGAGCGGGGUAUAAAUAGCCGGCGGGCGAGAGAUGGCUAGGAAGAAGAUAGGUGUUCUUGCAGCACUGCACUCCAGGGUGGCGGACGGUGGUGCGUGCAUGCACCGUACGUCCUACUACGUAGCUAAUGAGGCGUGCAUGCAUGCGCAUGAGGUGAGGGUUGUUGGGCGCUGCCGACCGUACGAUGUAUCAACCGGUCGCGUCCACUGCACGCAUGUGACGCUUUUUUAUUCACAUCUACUACUCCUCCAAUACAUAGUUAAGUCCAUACUGUGUAGUGUGCAGAUUCACAAAAGCUUCUGCGUGCAAAUAAUUCCAAUGUGAUUUUGCUCGUGUGAACGUAUGAAACCCGUAUCGAGCCAGUACUGUGUAGUGUGCAGAUUCAUCACUAAAAAAAAGUGCAGUGUGCAGAUCUGGACGAAGGACCAGUAUAGCUGGUGGGCCGUCGUUGUCAACACAAAAAAGGGACGGACAUGAACAUGAUACGGAGUAAAUUAUGUGUACGAUCGAUCUAUCCAUCUACCAUGCCAUGCAUCGUUAAAAGCGAAGUUAGGAUCUAUGACUAGUGAAGUACUUAUUAAUUUCCACCGGCAUCUGUACUGAUCAGGCGGUGCAGAGUGAUCAAUGCCAGAAACAUGCGUCUCUCUCUCUCUCUCUCUCUCUCUCUCUCUAUCUCUCUCUCUCUCUCUCGGUUCUCUCUUAACUCCAAUCCAGUGGAGUAUACAUCAAUCAUAUACUCCUACUGUAGUGACUUCAUACGGAGUACAUCACGAAGAUUUGUACGCAGUAUUUGUAAUACGUACUCCUAAUGAGUACGUAUUAUGUUCCCUGCACAUCAUAAACAAGUAACUUUUUCUAUAUGUCUUGAGUCAAACUUUAUAAACCUCAAUGGAGUAUUUGUAAAUCAUAUGUUUAGAUUAGUCUCUAAAGGCAUAUUCAUGACAUUAUAAUACGAGUGAAUUUCAGUUUUUGCUCCUUACUUUCACAUUUUUUAUAGCAAUCAGCCCACAACAACUCCUCAUCCAGAUUGCCCCAUUUAACAAAAAAAUUGCCCAUUUUGUACUCCAAAUAUUUUUAGAGUAAUCUACCAGGUUGGUCCCAUCUGUCGGUUAUGUGUGGCGUGCCACGCCGUGUUUAUUCUACUAGCGAUUUUCCCGCACCAGAACCCAGUUUGCCUCCUUUAGCCGGACCAACCCCGUGUUUAGUGACCAUGUUGUAAGCCUUGUUUCUUUUUCUAGAAUACGCAUAGUUAAGAAUAUGUAUCAUAUAUUCAUAGAAGAAAGGGCAAGACAUCCGUCCACAGAACUACAACGGGGCACUUAGCCCAGAUUACAUGGAUUACUCGCUAAAGACCCGCCUAAACAACCUCUGACAAAAAAUAAGGACAUGUCUCCAUGAAACAACCUCACUGCAGCCCAAGUCCGCCCCUCCUCAUAGAUCAUGCCGAGCACCACCGUGAUGGAAGGAGAAGCAUUGUCAAAAGAUGAUUGCAUUGCGGCGCUUCUAGAUUUCUCUGCACACGAGAAGAGUGAGAGUAUGCAGGUCCUUCCUCAUCGGAGGUGUUGUCUACAAUGAAGCUGUUCACGACAGGAGACGAUCUAUUCCUUGUGGUGCCCAAGCCUUGAUACCCCACGCUGACACCGGAUGCCAGACGACACUUGCGAAACCGCAGGCAACAAACAGAUGAUCAAUGGUUUCCGGCAGUUGAGCGCAUAGCGGGCAAACAUCCUGAUGUGGCAAUCCCCGCCUCGCCACCUGAUCAGAGGUCCAACACCUAUUCUUAAAAGCAAGCUACGCAAACAACUUGCAAUGCAACGGAGCCCGGCAUUCCCAAACCAUCCUUGCUGCAAGGUCAUGUUCACGAACGUCAAAAUGACUCGCAUAAGCUGACUUGGUCGAAUAUUUUCCAGAAGCCUCCCAAGCCUAGCGCACUACAUCAUCCACAUCGUGUCUAAGUUCCACGCCUGACACCAGGUGCCACAGCUGCAAGUAAUCCCCAAUCUCCUCAGCACUGAGAUCCAACCAAAUACCUCUCGGCCAAAGUCCAGCUAGGGCCUCAUCCACUGUCCUGGAGCUCCUUACUCUGGGACAUAUGCGCACAUAAAGUAUUGGGGCGAUCUCCUGAACUCUCUUCCCAGAAGCAUGUCCCUCUUCCAUUCCCUACAUCAACAAAAACUGCCGCUCGAUAAACUGCCAAGUAUUUUGCCGAAAUACUGAUGUCAAACUCCGCCCACGGCCUCUCCCUGUCAACCCUCCGUAGCCACAACGAUAUAACCCUUAAUGUUGUAUUCAUCCAACACAAGUCAUGUAACCCUAGGCCACUAGUCCACUUAGGUGUGCAGACGAUGUUCCAGGCAACCAUGCACUACCCACCAUUCGCCGCCGAGCUCCCUGCCCAGAGGAAGCCUCUAAAGAUUUUAUUUAUGGCGGCAAGCACCUCCGCCUUAUUGAUGGGGACUUUGGAGUCAACAUGUAUUAUAUCUGAAUUCAUGCUAUCCUCAUAUAAAUGCAUAGUUAAAACAUUAUUAGUAAACCAAAAACCUUGCAAAAUUAUUCAAAUGAGUUCUUAAAUUGGUGUUGUGAAAUAAAUGUGACCUAACAAUCGGCCUAGUAUUUAUCGUAGGCCCUCCAUGCCAUAAUAAACCCCUUUGAUUAAUUUCAAUUAUAUAGACUAAUUCUGAUAUUUGAAUAAAGUGAUAAUUGUUCAAAUUUAAAUAUUGAUAGAAUUAUAAAUUAUAUCGUAGGUGAUAAGUUCUUUGAUGAGAUUUCAUGAAAAUAAAUAUUUGAGGCUUUAUAUGGUAGUGAUUAGUUCUAGUAAAAUUUCGUCAAUUUUGAGGUCAUUUCACCUACUCACGUUUCAAAUCAAAACUUGGGGCAUCACUUAGUUUGACUGUAAAUGACAGUCAACUCAUCGGAUUUUUUUUGAAACUUUCAUAGUAAUUAGAAAUAACAUAUAUGAAACCUAUGGAUUUUUAUUGGAGUUUUAAGCCUUGAAAAUAAUGUAUUUAACUAUUUAAAAGAGUUGAGGAAUAAUAAGAAAAGGAAUAGAUUAAUACUUAUCCAAAACCCAAACCGGGCCUAAUCAGGCCAACUCGGCUUUUCUCCUCUUGAACGUUACCUAGGAAAAUAAACAAGGCGACAACGACAAGAGUUUGAGACGCGACUGAGAUCUCACGGGUUCCCUCACCUCUAGCCAUGCGCCAGAAGGCAGGGUGGGGUGGGGGGACCUUGGGUCCUCCUUGGAAUGUUCAGAAGUUUACGGUAGUAUAGACUUUAUGGUCGUUGUCGGCGAUAUUCACCCAGAGGGUGCAAUAAUGUUGAGAAUAAAAGCGCUCUGGUUCUUCCUUUGAUGCGCCGGCGCCUUACUAAACAUCACCAUAGAAUUAAUGAUAGAUAUUGUGUCUCCGCGGGUUUGGUCUUAUAGGUUUUGGGUUUAUGUUCUUGCAGAUGCAUCCAUGAGGAUUUGAUGAGCUUGUAUUAUUGUAUCUUCUGCUUUUGUUGGUAUGUUCUUUUGUGCCUUCUUGGAGUGCUUCUCAGGCUUUUUCAUGAAGAUUUUGUGUUCGACGACCUCUAAUCUCGUGGAUCAUCCUUGGCCCAAGUACAUUAAAUGCUCAACAAUUUCCACCUCUUUGGAUGGGAAACUGAAGGGGGCUUUUGAAAAUCUUGAAAGUUGGUCGAUUUUGUGUAGGUAUAUGGGGAGUGGUGCCGCUGCUCUUGUCUGGUUGUUGUACCGUUGUAGAAGCUUUUGAUAGUAUUUCCCAUGUUGCAGAUUGUUGUUACUUUGGAGGGGAUGAACACCACACAUCUUCAUUUGGUCUCGUAUAAGAAUCAUAUGUAAGUUAGUUAUGUUGUCUUUGCUGGUCAGAAAAUCAUCACUGGAUUCGGCAAAUUGACAUCGUCAAGUUUUUUUCCUUGCAUUUAGGAAAAAUUUACAACUGUGCCAUGUUGGUAUCAAAGACAUUAAUAAAACUUGCUAAUUUCCAGCAGCAACAUGCGGGCAAGAAACUACUCCCUCCGCAAGGAAAUAUAAGAGCAAAUAGUGAUCUAAACACUCUCAUAUUUCUUUACAGAUGGAGUAGUUUAUAAUCAUUAUAGAUAACAGCGAAUGUCAUAAAACUUAAGCUCAACACAUUAUUUUAUUGAUGAUUCGAUCAGUAAUCUGCUCGAUCUGUAUUAACGGCAACAGAUGGAGGUCGAACACAUGGAGAAAACAACAACGAACACACGCAGAGAGCAGCAACAGUAGACACCGAGUGGGCUAGCUAGCCUGGUGUGAUGAUGAUGCUGGUAGAUAACUUAGUGAAGGCUGCAAACACACAGACACAAAAGCUCAACGAUUAGUCGUACUAUUUAUAGUACUUACGAACUAAGAUAAAAUGGCUAAUGAGUACUUAAAAUAUAAUAUUUCAAGUU
rnacentral:lncRNA from 1 species